AUUGAACGCUGGCGGCAUGCCUAACACAUGCAAGUCGAACGGCAGCACAAUAAAGAUUUCGGUCUUUAUGGGUGGCGAGUGGCGGACGGGUGAGUAACGCGUAGGAAUCUGUCCUGGAGAGUGGGAUAACCCGAGGAAACUCGGGCUAAUACUGCAUGACAUUGAGAGAUCAAAAGCAGGGGACCGAAAGGCCUUGCGCUCUGGGGUGAGCCUACGUCGGAUUAGCUAGUUGGUGGGGUAAAGGCCUACCAAGGCGACGAUCCGUAGCUGGUCUGAGAGGAUGACCAGCCACACUGGGACUGAGACACGGCCCAGACUCCUACGGGAGGCAGCAGUGGGGAAUCUUGGACAAUGGGGGAAACCCUGAUCCAGCGAUGCCGCGUGUGUGAAGAAGGCCUUCGGGUUGUAAAGCACUUUAGGUGGGGAAGAAAGGUAGCGAGUGAAUAACUUUCUGCUGUGACGGUACCCACAGAAUAAGCACCGGCUAACUCUGUGCCAGCCGCCGCCGUAA
rnacentral:rRNA from 1 species